rnacentral:lncRNA from 1 species
CAGAAACAUGUUUAGGUUAGCAUUUUUAAUACUAAGUAUUAGACCCUGAACAUUUUAUUUGUACCAUUUAUAUGGUAUUCUGGACUUACUGUGUCUUUGAGGAAUUUGUGCUUCAAGAAGAGUGGGCUGAAACAGAAAAAUAUCACCUUCGAAAUAAGACUGAUACUAACCAAAUUCAUGGAAGGAUAUGUAAGCCAGAUGCCAACUUGAUCAUUUGCAUUGAGAAUUUCAACUACUAAGGAAAGCAAAUUCUCAUAUCCACUAUGUAGUAUAUUGUUUACCUGUGUGCAUAAAUAUCUACCCUGAAAGACAAACUGUUAUCAAAAGAUUGCUUGGUGAAUGAUUGAGGCAACAGGAGUGACAGGACCUCAUGACUCUUGGCAUCCAGAAGGCUGGUGUGGGCUCUUUCUCAUAGCAGCUAGGAAGAGAGGGAACAGAAGCUUGAAAGGCUGCCUGAGGCCUAGACCUAGAAUUGGACCAGUGCAAUUCUGCCACAUUCUUUUAAACAAAGCAAGUUACAAGGCUAGCCUAAAUCCAAGAAGGAAAAUAGACUUCACCUCUUGACAGAAGAAGCUGCAAUGUCACACUGCAAAGUGCAUGAUAAAUAAGAACUGAACUAGAAACUUCUGUAAUCACUCAAUCACAUUCCUCCACCAUUAUUCCAAAAAUAUUUGCUCUACACUUCUUUUCAAUGUCCAUACCCUGAUGAAGCCAAAUGAAGUUUGUUGACCAACUUACUUACAACUUACAACCAGCAGAGAAAGCCAGGUUAGAAUCCAAAGUCAAGAAGCAAGACAAAAGAGAGAGAUUGUCAUAAUUCCCAGUUUAUUAUUUGUGUCUUCAGUGUCAACAAGACCAAAAUAAAGCUUCUCCACGCUACCAGCUUUGAAAUGAGAAUUCUGUUCCCUUUAUGUUUGCUUGUCUAUACUUCUAUUAGAUUGAACUACAUGAAAUUGCCAUUUUUUUGGUAAAAUAUGGUCAAAUGUUGGCAAUUUAAGAUGUCUUACCUGUAAUUUGUAAAGUAGACUUGAAAAAAAUGUAGACUUGAAAAAAAAUCAUACUUUGAUUCUUUGGGAAAUGAUGGGAAGUUUUUAGAAUAACCAUACACAGACAUUUUUAAAUAAA